CUGCCAUCUCCUUGGGCGGGGCUUCAGACGGCUUGGCUGGAGAGACUUCAGGGAGCUGGAGCUGGCAAGGAGAGCAAAGAAGAGCCCUGAGGAACCAGCCCCCAGCCCACAGGCAUCGCACUGGCAAAGGCCUGGUCUGGCGUCUUUGAGAGAGUUGGAUGCUUCCUGACCUUAGGUAUGCCGAGGGAAUUGUUAGAAUUUUCUAGUUGGAAAAAGGAAGUGGCACCAAAACUACGGCAGUGAAUAGGGAGAUGGCUCAACAGGGGCAUCCGGAUGUUGUAAAUGGUGAGAGUGUUUUAUGACCAGAGGGUUCUUUGUAUUUGUGGUCAUCUUGAGGUUUAAUUUUCUCCAUGUAGUUAGUUAAAUACUUAACACUGAGGGCAGGGGUGAGGAUGAGGUAACCAACAAAAAAGCCAAAGUGAAGCUAAUGUUGCAGCUUCUCUAAGCUAAUGUGGUCCAGUGGUGAAGAUUCUGUGCUUCCGAUGCCGGCGGUGCGGUUCGAUCCCUGGUGGGGAAAGUAAGAUCCCAUAUGCAACAUGGCCAAAAAAAGAGAAAGAGAACCAAAGCGAAGGUAACAGGUGUUUCCAUCCCCAGGGGGUGGAGGUCAGGGUGGUACAGGUUCCGAGAAUUAUGUUCUCUGGGCUCUGAUGGGGACAUAUGAGGAGACAGCAUGGCUGGCAGGCCUGGGUCUUGAGAGAAGUAAACAGCUACUUCCUGUUUCUGUGUCUUGUCUCAGCAGAAAUCUGUGCCUUUGGGAGAAAGCCAAGUCCGCACCUCUGGAGGCAGACCCUGACCGAAUGAAUUAGGGGCAGAAGGUGAGGCCUUAGGAAAGGGAAGGGGCACCAUCUAAGAGACUGGGGGGUUCUGUUUCCUUUAGUCCUCACUGCCCGGAGACAGACACUGUAAUUAACCCCCUUUCAUGGACAAGGAGCCUGGUGGGCUGCCGUCUAUGGGGUCGCACAGAGUUGGACAUGAGGGAAGCAACUUAGCAGCAGCAGCAGCAGCAUGGACAAGGAAGUGGGAAGUGGAAGAGUUUGCGCAGCUUAACACAGCUAUGUAAGUAGAUGAGCUCAGCUGAAGAAGAGGAAAAUCUGAAAGACUGCAGAAUACAUCAUAUUUAAAGGCAUUUGGUGAACAUCAAAAAGUAUCUAAGAUGUAAUACUAACUGAACAAACAUGUUAUAAAGCAGUAUAAGCUCAGUAUGACUCCAAAAGUAACAAAAAGUAGAUGCUUGUAUCCCUGGAAAAGGUUGACUGCUCCUAGGGGGAAGUGUACCAGCUGGCUGGCCCAUUCAUCCAUCCAUCAUCCAUCCAUCCAUCCAUUAUCUACCCAUCUACAUUCAUCUAUCCACCCAUCUAUACAUCCAUCCACGUAUCUACCAUCCAUCCAUUCAUAUCGAUCCACCAAGCCACCCCUCAACCCAUGCAUGCAACUACCCACCUAACCCAUCCACCCAUCCUCUAUAUCUAAUCUAUUCUAUCAUUUCUGCCUAUCUGUCUACGCUGGUGCUCUAAGCAGUUUUAUCUGCACCCAUGGGGAGCUACAGUGAACCAUCCUGAUUCCCACCUGAGGACCAAGGCAGGCAUGGACAGAGCUCUGCCCAGGCGCUGUAGACCAGCACCAAAUUACUUUCUUGGUCUGCUCCCCCACAUCAUGGAGCCUAAACUAGUGACCCUGGCUUCUCUAGAGCCAAACUCCCCCAAACAUAUGAACGGCAGCUGCAAAGAGGAGCGACCCCUUCUCUGUUGCUCAGCAGCCCUGUACGGCGAUGACAGGCUGGGUUCAAG